GGCCCCAUCGUCUAGCUCGGUCUAGGAUACAAGGCUCUCAUCCUUGAGACACGGGUUCAAAUCCCGUUGGGGCUACCA
rnacentral:tRNA from 1 species